rnacentral:ncRNA from 16 species
ACCUUCCUUGUCUGUGGGAGUUCGACGUUGCAAUGAUCGUUUAGUGAGCUCGUCGUGCUAACACAAUUAAUUACGUCAUCGUACCCGAUUAUAAAUCGAGUACAAUUUUUGAAGCU